rnacentral:rRNA from 1 species
GCUAGAAAGCGGGAGAGCGAACAGGAAUGGAUAGCAAGGUAGUACAGGCAGUAAAGGAUGAGUAAUAAGUGUGGGAGUGUUUCCGCCUUCGGGGAACAGCAAGCGCAGUAAGCAGUCGGCUUGGGGAGUACGACGGCAAGGUUGAAAUCAAAGGAAUGGACGGGGGCCGGCACAAGAGAUGGAGCAUAUGGUUUAAUUAAAAGCAACAGGAAGAGCCUUGCCAGGUCUGGACAUCCUUUGACCGCUCUAGAGAUAGAGCUUUCCCUUCGGGGACAAAAUGACAGUGGGCAUGGUUGUCGUCAGCUAAUGUCGUGAGAUGUUGGGUUAAGUCCCGCAACGAGGCAACCCUUAUGGUUAGUUGCCAUCAUUUAGUGGGGCACUCUAGCGAGACUGCCGGUGACAAACCGGAAGAAGAUGGGGAUUACGUCAAAUCGUCAUUCCCCUUAUGACCUGGGCUACACACAACUACAAUGGGAAGUACAAGGAUUCGAUAGACCGCGAGGUCAUGCAAAUCUAUUAAAGCUUCUCUCAGUUGGGAUUGCAGGCUGCAACUGGCAUGCCUGAAGCAAAAAUCGCUAGUAAUCGCAGAUCAGCACACCGCGGUGAAUACGUUCCCGGGCCUUGUACACACCGCCCGUCACGCCAGGAGAGUUUGUAACACCCGAAGUCGGUGAGGUAACCUUUUUGGAGCCAACCGCCUAAGGUGGGAUAGAUGAUUGGGAGU